rnacentral:misc_RNA from 1 species
UACGAAGGUCCCGAGCGUUGUUCGGAAUCACUGGGCGUAAAGGGAGCGUAGGCGGUCUGGUAAGUCAGAUGUGAAAUCCCGGGGCUCAACCCCGGAACUACAUCCGAUACUGCCAUGACUUGAGUGAUGGAGGGGUAGCUGGAAUUCUCGGUGUAGCAGUGAAAUGCGUGGAUAUCGAGAGGAACACUCGUGGCGAAGGCGAGCUACUGGACAUUUACUGACGCUGAGGCUCGAAGGCCGGGGUAGCGAAAGGG